rnacentral:rRNA from 1 species
UACGUAGGGUGCAAGCGUUAAUCGGAAUUACUGGGCGUAAAGCGUACGCAGGCGGUUCGUUAAGUCAGAUGUGAAAGCCCCGGGCUCAACCUGGGAACUGCAUUUGAAACUGGCGGGCUUGAGUAUGGCAGAGGGGGGUGGAAUUCCGCGUGUAGCAGUGAAAUGCGUAGAGAUGCGGAGGAACACCGAUGGCGAAGGCAGCCCCCUGGGCCAAUACCGACGCUCAGGCACGAAAGCGUGGGGAGCAAACAGG